rnacentral:rRNA from 1 species
CGAACGCUGGCGGCGUGCUUAACACAUGCAAGUCGAACGCUGAAGCACCAGCUUGCUGGUGUGGAUGAGUGGCGAACGGGUGAGUAAUACGUGAGUAACCUGCCUUUGACUCUGGGAUAAGCCCGGGAAACUGGGUCUAAUACUGGAUGCUACAUGUCACCGCAUGGUGGUGUGUGGAAAGGGUUUACUGGUCUUGGAUGGGCUCACGGCCUAUCAGCUUGUUGGUGAGGUAAUGGCUCACCAAGGCGACGACGGGUAGCCGGCCUGAGAGGGUGACCGGCCACACUGGGACUGAGACACGGCCCAGACUCCUACGGGAGGCAGCAGUGGGGAAUAUUGCACAAUGGGCGAAAGCCUGAUGCAGCGACGCCGCGUGAGGGAUGACGGCCUUCGGGUUGUAAACCUCUUUCAGCAGGGAAGAAGCCACAAGUGACGGUACCUGCAGAAGAAGCGCCGGCUAACUACGUGCCAGCAGCCGCGGUAAUACGUAGGGCGCAAGCGUUGUCCGGAAUUAUUGGGCGUAAAGAGCUCGUAGGCGGUUUGUCGCGUCUGCUGUGAAAGCCCGGGGCUUAACCCCGGGUGUGCAGUGGGUACGGGCAG